rnacentral:rRNA from 1 species
UACGAGGGGGGCGAGCGUUGUUCGGAAUUAUUGGGCGUAGAGGGCGCGUAGGCGGUGCGGUAAGUCACCUGUGAAAUCUCUGGGCUUAACUCAGAGCCUGCAGGCGAAACUGCCGUGCUGGAGUGUGGGAGAGGUGCGUGGAAUUCCCGGUGUAGCGGUGAAAUGCGUAGAUAUCUGGAGGAACACCGGUGGCGAAGGCGGCAUCCUGGACCGGUAUUGACGCUGAUGCGCGAAAGCCAGGGGAGCAAACGGG